rnacentral:rRNA from 1 species
UACAGAGGGUGCGAGCGUUGUCCGGAAUCACUGGGCGUAAAGGGCGCGUAGGUGGCGCCCCAAGUCUGUGGUGAAAGCUCGAUGCUCAACAUCGAGUCGGCCACGGAAACUGGGGGGGCUGGAGCACUGUAGAGGCUAAUGGAAUUCCGGGUGUAGCGGUGGAAUGCGUAGAGAUCCGGAAGAACACCGGUGGCGAAGGCGGUUAGCUGGGCAGUUGCUGACACUGAGGCGCGACAGCAUGGGGAGCAAACAGG